AUUUCACAAGCAUGAGAGCCAGAUGGAAGUUCCUCUGCCCAACCUGCCUGGUUAGCAACAGUGACUGGUUUAAGAGUAAGUAUGCACCUCUGCAGAGUCAGUCACGUAGAACCUCACCUACUAACCUGCAGAUUGGUCCAGGAAGUGAGAACGUGACCUAAACCAGGCAAUCAGAGGCUUUCCAUGAGAUUUUCCUAAUCUGAGCCAGAGGGGAGAAGUACUUGGAUGCCAAGACUCCUCGAGAAGUGCUUGAGGAGAGAAAGUUGAGAAAAUGAAACCAAACAUAAAGAGCUAAACUAUGAGGAGUCCUGCCCAGCCUCUGAGCUGUCCAUCACGAGGUCAUGACUGCUCUCCUAUUUUUGCAAUCAAUAACGGCAAAUACUUUCUGCCCCUGCAGCUAUCCUCAAAGAGUGGUGUCCAAAAGCAGGGUGGCUUAAGUCCUCAUUUAAUGAGAAAAUUCUUUUAUUAAUAGCAUAUUUUUAGGUCUUUUGCUAAACUAGGAGAAACUAGCUUGUGUUGGUAUGUGUUAAGUAGAUGUACUAAUCUUGUAAUUUAUACUCUUCCCCAAACUCCAGGAUCCACUGCAUAAAUAAGUUUCUCAUGCCAGAUUUAUUUCUUUCAUAAGAAAUAUAUAUUUUUUUCUCUCAGUGCCCCACUAUCACCAUUUAGGCUCUAAAAUAUCUGAGAGAUUUGCCCCAUGUACAUUUGAUUCCCAGCUGCUAACCUGGAAUUUUGUUCUAGGAGUUUGUGAAGACUAUUUUCCAACCACCUGUAUAAUGCAAUUAUUUCAAAAAGGUACCAGAGAAGCCUGACUGCUUGAGUUGAGCCAUGGGUCUUUUGUCCUCAGACUGAGAUUUAUACCAUUGCCUGCCCUGGUUCUCUGGCCUUCAGACUUGCACCCAAUUAUACCACUGGCUUUGCUGAAUCUCCAGUUUGCAGAUGGCAGAUCCUGGGACUUCUCAACUUCUAUAAUUGCAGGAGCCAUAGAUAUAGAUAUAGAUAUAGAUAUAGAUAUAGAUAUAGAUAUAGAUAUAGAUAUAGAUAUAGAUAGAGAUAGAGAUAGAGAUGGAUAGAGAUAUCUCUAUCUAACAUCUACCUAUCUACCCAUCCACCUAUUAUCUAUCUAUCUAUCUAUCUAUCUAUCUAUCUAUCUAUCUAUCAUAUUGCUUCUGUUUCUCUGGAGAACUCUAAUACAACCACUAAAAAACAUAAAGUGUUGUCAAUUGAAGUAUGAUAAGAAUCGGCAAGCCUUAUCUGUAAAUGAUGAUAGUAAAUAUUUUAGGCUUUAAGGUCCACAAGGUCUCUAUUAUAAUGGCUGAAUCCUGCCAUCGCAGCAAGAAAGCAACCGUAGGCAAUAUGUAAACAAAUGGCUAUGGCUGUGUUCCUAUAAAGCUUUAAUUGUGGACAUGGAAAUUUGAAUUUCAUGUAACUUUUACAUGUUAUAAAACUAUUUUUCUUUCUUUUUUUUUUGUAACUGUAAAAAAUGUACAAACCAGUCUUAGCGCUAGAGCCAUACAAAAGCAGGUGGUCAGCUAGAUUUGAUCGACAGGACGUUAUGGUUUCUUAUCAUGUUAAUUACAAGAUGCAUCCAUAUUUCAGAGUUGUUAGAAUGCAGAGAUAUGUGCGUCUUAGAUUGAAUGUGAUAGUGCAGUAUUACAGAAUCCUAGGUCUUUUGGAUUCCCUGGGUUUUAACAUCUAUAAUGUAUCCCCACAAUGCUUUGCCACUUAACCUUUGGCAAUCAACAAGGAUCAUUGGUGAGCAUACAGUCUGUCCUUUCUGGAACACAGUGAGAAGUGGACAUGGAAUGGAGAAGGCUGAGAAGAAAGUUAGAGGGAAUUGAGGUGUAUGGGGCAGUCUUUUGGAAUCUGAAUGUUCAGAGAAUAAUGAGGCAUGCCAUUUGUAUAGCACUUUAAAUUCCAUAAAAUCUAUGUAUAUACAUUGUUUUAUUGAAUUUUCCCCAUGGAUCUGUGAAGUACCCAUUGUAGAAAUUAGCUGCAGAACAGAAAAACAUACAUGUGAAUGAAUUAUAACUGGGAAAAGGUAGACCCUAACAUUGUCUUUUGACCAUACAACUGUUCUUCCUUAUUCAAAAAGCUUAUAUUCAGUGAGUGUUUCUAAGGGUGAAAGUUAACCAUGAUUCAGGAGACAAUCAUGGUUGUAUUGUCACAGCCUUUCUCUUUCA
rnacentral:lncRNA from 10 species